GUUAUUUACUUUUUUCUCAAUCGUUCACAUUUUGUUUUCUGAUUACGUGAAAAUCGGUAAUUAUCCAAUUUUAAAAUUCAAUAACAAUUUCUUCUUUUCACGUAUGAAGAAGUUCGAAAUUACACAAAAUCAUAGCUUAGAUGGCUUGGAUGUCGCCGCAAUCUCAUAGAAUUUGGUAAUCUGGCGCUCGUGGAUACAUGUGAAGAACUGGAGGGUGGUAAAUGGCAAAAAGGAGAUAUGGCAAGUAAAAGUAUAAAACACAAUGCUUGUUCUCAUUGGAUAAAGGCACUUUGUCGUUAAAAACUCGUUGUAAUGUCGCUAAAACUAAAUGAGUUUGUGCCACAUUACUUGAUAUUUUGCCCAUUCCUUACUGCAAGUCGUCGCUCGCGGCUUGCAAACUACUACACAUCUGGAAUUCUAUUUGAAUUGGUGUUGACGAUGAAUUGUUCUUAAUUAUAUCGAAGGAGGACGAUGAUGCACUGACCGAAUUAGAGAAUUAUUGCUUACAGGUUUAUUUUGAAU